UCCUACGGGGCGCAGCAGUGGGGAAUAUUGCACAAUGGGGGAAACCCUGAUGCAGCGACGCCGCGUGAGUGAAGAAGUAUUUCGGUAUGUAAAGCUCUAUCAGCAGGGAAGAAAAUGACGGUACCUGACUAAGAAGCCCCGGCUAACUACGUGCCAGCAGCCGCGGUAAUACGUAGGGGGCAAGCGUUAUCCGGAUUUACUGGGUGUAAAGGGAGCGUAGACGGCGAUGCAAGUCUGAAGUGAAAGGCGGGGGCCCAACCCCCGGACUGCUUUGGAAACUGUGUGGCUGGAGUGCAGGAGAGGUA
rnacentral:rRNA from 1 species